UUGAUAUAUAUAUAAAUAUAUUUUUUUUGGUGAAAGAGAGAAACCAGGUUUAAGCGCCGUAUCCAUUGGCGGGAGCAAAUGAGAUGAAAAGCACCAAUCCGUUCGAAAAGUCAACUAAAGACGGACCGGCCUUCACAUGUUGUCUCCAAUUGCUGAAGAAUGACUAAGAGAAGAGGUACAAUGAAUCGCUGUUGUUGACUCGAUUAUAAAUGUGGAUUAGUGAAAAAGAGCAGGCUGUUGAUCGGACUAGGCCUCGAACCAAAGUAAUUGCGGCUGUAAAAAAGGAAAAACUCAGAAUUAACUUCAAAAAUAUCUAGUAACGAAUAAUUUAUUGGUUAAGUCGCUACUCACGAAAAACAUGAUGUCGACGCAUAUUUUUAAUGAAGAAGGAAUGCGCUUCUUCAUGAUAAAUACACCCCAACAUUGCUCCAGCAACCGAAAUUAUUGAAUCCACUCAACGUUAAAUGAUCAUCCGCCAUGCGGUCGUUCACAACGACUAAUGAGUGCUGAUGGCAUGCUGCGUGUCUGCUGUGUGGCAACACGUUUCCGUUUCUACUUAAUUUAGCCAGCCGCGACACUCCCACAAGUGAGCUGAGUCCAAGUUGAACGAAUAAAGGAGAACUCUAUUCAAUUGAGCAGCUUUUGCGCCGCACGAGUCCUUAACGAGCCAAGCCGCGUAAGGCAACCAAGUUCACACACAGUUAGCGAGACAUCAAUCGACCGGAUGUCUGUCGCAUACCAUAAAGUCCACUUUUGAAACGCGCGCGCCUUCGUCACUUAGAAGAAUCUGCUACCCCUGCUGCAAACAAAGAAAGUAAGAAGUCCAAAGAUCACCUCGUCGCUGCACACCGCUCAAUAAACGCCGUAUACCAUGGCUGUUUAGCACAACUAAGCCAUGCUCAUUCAGUUUCAGCGCGGCUUGAAAGGAACUGAUGAAUGAUCUUAUGUCGUUUUAUGUGGCCAUCGAGGCACUUUUAUUGCUCUUGCGGCUGCUGCUGCUGCUGUGACUGUGAUUGCUGUUGUUGCAGUCACAAUGGUGUGGGGAUCGACGCUUUGUGGCUACAAACGUCGCGUAAGGGCUAUAUUUGUACGACGCGUUCGUACGUGUAUGUACGAUAUGUACGUGUGUGUUCAAUCUGCUAAAUGAGAUCAAAUAAGAUAG